CUGUCUCUUCUUUUCAACUGUUGCGACCGCCUUGUUUUGAACCCCUGUGGGCCAGAUUAACUUGCCCGUUUACCACUGAGCCAGCCACGCCGCAUCAGUUUGAUUUUGUCCUGAGGCCUAUCAUCCCGCCUUUUCGUUUGGAUUUCACUCUCAGAGCCCCGAAGGAUGCGAUAGUAGCACUGGCAGAAGACAUGACCGAAGACUCCAUCUUCGCCGAGAUAGGAAUUGGCAGUUGGGGAAAUGUAAAAUCAACCAUUAGACCCUGCUAUACGAUCUUGCAUGGAUGCUUCGAUUUACUAGGAGGCAAUACUGUGCACGAUGAGGCCGGCAUCGUCAGCGACGUUGAAAGUCGGCCCUUCUGGAUCGAGUACAAAGGGGGCGUGGUGACUGUCGGCAAGGGGGGACAGACGGAAGCUUUCAUGGAGUGGGACGCCGCAAGCUACCACGAUAAAUUCCCCGUUCCUGUACACGUUGGGAUCUCUACUUACCAGUCUUAUGGCAAUUGGGUAUUUUACACGUUCUGCAAAUAAAUUUGCCAACUUCAGUAAUGUGGACUGUAUUAUAUUGUAGAGCUAUAGGCCAACCGUAAAGAGUUUUGAUUCGGCCACUUCGGUCGGUUUCUCAAGUGAGAUUCUUUGAUGUUUACAUGGUUUUCUGGUUAGACUUAGGCCCUAUAUUCAUAUUAACUGACAUUAAUUUUAGUGAAAUGCAUUCUAUUCUUGAUUAAAACUAGUUUUAAUUGCUCUGUAGAAUACGUUUUCAUGACACUUUCAUGGUAUAGAAGUUUGCAAUGUAUAUUCUUCAUACUAAGAGUGACAUCCAUGAUUGGUCACAGUAAGAAUG
rnacentral:misc_RNA from 1 species